GAUGAACGCUGGCGGCGUGCCUAAUACAUGCAAGUCGAGCGAACAGACGAGGAGCUUGCUCCUCUGACGUUAGCGGCGGACGGGUGAGUAACACGUGGAUAACCUACCUAUAAGACUGGGAUAACUUCGGGAAACCGGAGCUAAUACCGGAUAAUAUAUUGAACCGCAGGGUUCAAUAGUGAAAGACGGUUUUGCUGUCACUACUAGAUGGAUCCGCGCUGCAUUAGCUAGUUGGUAAGGUAACGGCUUUCCAAGGCAACGAUGCGUAGCCGACCUGAGAGGGUGAUCGGCCACACUGGAACUGAGACACGGUCCAGACUCCUACGGGAGGCAGCAGUAGGGAAUCUUCCGCAAUGGGCGAAAGCCUGACGGAGCAACGCCGCGUGAGUGAUGAAGGUCUUCGGAUCGUAAAACUCUGUUAUUAGGGAAGAACAAAUGUGUAAGUAACUAUGCACGUCUUGACGGUACCUAAUCAGAAAGCAACGGCUAACUACGUG
rnacentral:rRNA from 1 species